AGAGCCAGUUGCUCAGGCGCCUUAGCACCGCCUUUGCAAGGCGGGGGUUAGGGGUUCGAUUCCCCUCGUCUCCACCG
rnacentral:tRNA from 1 species